rnacentral:lncRNA from 10 species
UAACACAUAAACAAAUAAAAUAUUAAAUGAAUAGGCAAUUUAUCCCAAAGUAGUAUAGGUUUUUCCUCCCAAAUAAAUUGAGUCUUUGUCACAGGCAUUUAAAAGAGAGAAGAAUAAUUUCUAUCUCGGCUGCUGUAGGGAAACUACCACUUCCCUGUAAAGAAUUAGACCCAUACUUACCCAUGUUGGCAAUGGAGGAGGAACACCAAAUGGGGGAGGAUGGCGAAACCUGGCCCACCAUGAGUCCCUGUCUCCUGGACAUCCUCACGCGUAACCAGUGGGUGACCACUGUGCAGACAGACGGAGGUGUUAGUGUGUGUGUGUGAAUGAGUGCCUGUGCGGACAGAGGUGGGCACUGUGUGUGUGUGAAUGAGUGUGUGGACAGAGGCAGGCAUUGUGUGUGUGUGUGUGAAUGAAUGGACAGAGGGAGGCGUUGGUGUGUGUGUGUGAAUCUGUGUGCGGACAGAGGGAGGCAUUGGUGUGUGUGUGAAUGAGUGUGUGUGUGGACACAGGGAGGCAUUGGUUGUGUGUGUGGAUGAGUGUGUGUGGACAGAGGGGGGCGUUGGUGUGUGUGUGAAUGAGUGUGCGGACAGGCAGGCAUUGUGUGUGUGUGUGAAUGAGUGUGUGGACAGAGGUGGGCAUUGUGUGUGUGCGUGAAUGUGUGGACAGUGGGAGGUGGUGUGUGUGUGUGAACUAGUGUGCAGAGGGAGGCACUGGUGUGUGUUUGAAUGAGUGUGUGUGCAGACACAGGAGGGUGUUGGUGUGUGUGUUUGAAUGAGUGUGUGUGGACAGAGGCGGGCAUUGUGUGUGUGUGUGUAAAUGAGUGUGUGGACAGAGGGAGGCAUUGGUGUGUGUGUGAAUGAGUGUGUGUGUGGACAGAGGCAGGCGGUGUGUGUGUGGAUGAGUGUGUGUGUGGACGGAGGGAGGUGUUGUGUGUGUGUGAGUGUCUGUGCAGAGGCGGGCAUUGUGUGUGUGUGUGUGAAUGAGUGUGUGGACAGAGGCGGGCGUUGUGUGUAUGAAUGAGUGUGUGGACAGAGGGAGGCAUUGGUGUGUGUGUGAAUGAGUGUAUGUGUGGACAGAGGGAGGCGUUGGUGUGUGUGUGUGAACAGAGGUGGGCGUUGGUGUGUGUGUGUAAAUGAGUAUGUGUGGACAGAGGGAGGCAUUGGUGUGUGUGUGAAUGAGUGUGUGUGUGGACAGAGGCAGGCGGUGUGUGUGGAUGAGUGUGUGUGUGGACGGAGGGAGGUGUUGUGUGUGUGUGAGUGUCUGUGCAGAGGCGGGCAUUUUGUGUGUGUGUGAAUGAGUGUGUGGACAGAGGCGGGCGUUGUGUGUAUGAAUGAGUGUGUGGACAGAGGGAGGCAUUGGUGUGUGUGUGUGAAUGAGUAUGUGGACAGAGGGGGGCAUUGGUGUGUGUGUGAAUGAGUGUAUGUGUGGACAGAGGGAGGCGUUGGUGUGUGUGUGUGUGAACAGAGGUGGGCGUUGGUGUGUGUGUGUAAAUGAGUAUGUGUGGACAGAGGGAGGCAUUGGUGUGUGUCUGUGUGUGGAUGAGUGUGCAGAGAUGGGGAUUGGUGUGUGUGUGUGAAUGAGUGUCUUGUGGACAGAGGUGGGCAUUGUGUGUGUGUGUAAAUAAGUGUGUGUGGACAGAGGCAGGCAGAGGUGUGUGUGAGAGUGAGUGUGUGGGUGAACAGAGGCAGGCAUUGGGGUGUGUGUGUGAGAAUGAGUAUCUGUGUGGACAGAGGUGGGCGUUGGUGUGUGUGAAUGAGUGUGUGCGCGGACAGAGGGACCAUUGGUGUGUGUGUGUGAAUGAGUGUGUGUGUGGACAGAGGGGGCCGUUGGUGUGUGUGUGAAUGAGUAUCUGUGUGGACAGAGGUGGGCAUUGGUGUGUGUGUGUGUGAAUGAGUGUGUGUGGACAGAGGGAGCAUUGGUGUGUGUGUGUGAAUGAGUGUGUGUGGACAGAGGGGGCCGUUGGCGUGUGUGUGUGAAUGAGUGUGUGUGUGGACAGAGGGGGCCGUUGGUGUGUGUGUGUGUGUGUGAAUGAGUGUGUGGACAGAGGUGGGCAUUGGUGUGUGUGUGUGAAUGAGUAUCUGUGUGGACAGAGGUGGGCGUUGGUGUGUGUGUGUGAAUGAGUGUGUGUGCGGACAGAGGGGGCGUUGUGUGUGUGUGUGAAUGAGUGUGUGUGCGGACAGAGGGGGCGUUGUGUGUGUGUGAAUGAGUAUCUGUGUGGACAGAGGUGGGCGUUGUGUGUAUGUGAAUGAGUGUGUGUGUGGACAGAGGGAGCAUUGUGUGCGUGUGAAUGAGUGUGUGUGCGGACAGAGGGAGCGUUGGUGUGUGUGACUGAGUGUGUGUGUGGACAGAGGGGGCCGUUGGCGUGUGUGUGUGAAUGAGUAUCUGUGUGGACAGAGGUGGGCAUUGGGGGGUGUGUGUGUGAAUGAGUGUGUGUGCAGACAGAGGGAGCGUUGGUGUGUGUGCGAAUGAGUGUGUGCGGACAGAGGGAGCGUUGGUGUGUGGGAGAGAAUGAGUGUGUGUCGUGUAAGUGUAUUUGCGCAGAUGUGUGAGUGUAUGUGAGUGCCCCAAGCGUCGUAACAGAACCUUCCAUCCCUUCCAUUCAAACUCAGCGGUACAGUAGAACCACAGGCUGGUGAUUUGAAUACAGUUUCGGGAAAGGCCAAUGAGUAGCAGAGGACAAUGCCCUCGGCAUGGUGCGCGGAGGUGGCAACCUGACCUGCUGCCCUGUAACUUUAGAAUCCCAGAAGGAACCAGCCCCGCAAAGGCUCUAAAGAAAUAAAGCCUGGGGACUUGGGAUCCCUGGGAGCCCAGAUGGAAGGGGACAAGGUCCCGAGAUACUGUCGUCAGGCAGUCCCUGUCCUGACCUCGCAGGAUGGACACAGGCUGAGUGGCCACCUAGGCCCAGAAACAGAGCUGGCACAGAGUCCUGGAAAGAGCAGGCAUUGGGUGGGGUGUCAAGGGGGCAUUCAAAAAAUUAAUUUUAUGAACCAAAUUCCUUAAAUUGAGCCUCAUGUUGGAAAGCACAUCCCCCCGCACAAAGGUUCAGAGUGUGGGCUUGGGAGAGGGUCAGACAUAGAUUCCAUUCUGUGCCCCAGCAAAUUACAGCCCUCGAAACUUCAGUUUUUUGGUUCAUGCCACAUCCUUACAGGACCAUUUAGAGCCAUGCUGCCAAUGGGAAUAUAAUGUGAACCACACAGGCUCAUCGAUGUUUUCUAGUAGCCACACUAAAGAUAGCAAAAAGACACGGGGAUGUUAAUUUAAUAAUGUGUAUCAUUUACUAGAAGAGACCCAAAGUUUAUCACACCACGUGUAAUGGACGUGAAGAUUAUCCCGUAUGUCUUCUCUUGUUCCCAGUCUUUGAAACCUCAUGUGCAUUUCACACUUAAUGCACGUUGCCAGGGUUUUCAAGAGCUUGGUGACCUCAUGUGGCUGGUGGGAUCAUCGCUGGAAGGAAGAGCUGCCGGGGUUAAAUGAGGUAAUCACUGCAAGCGCCGUGCCUCAGGUUUGGUAAACGUCUAAUACACGCAAGAUU